rnacentral:rRNA from 1 species
CACGUAGGCGGAUUGUUAAGUCAGAGGUGAAAUCCCGGAGCUCAACUUCGGAACUGCCUUUGAUACUGGCAAUCUAGAGUCCGGAAGAGGUUAGUGGAAUUCCCAGUGUAGAGGUGAAAUUCGUAGAUAUCGGGAAGAACACCAGUGGCGAAGGCGGCUAACUGGUCCGGUACUGACGCUGAGGUGCGAAAGCGUGGGGAGCAAACA